CAAUUUGAUAUAUCACUAUCAAAACCUGAAUUCCUUAUGAAAGACGAGAAGAAAUUUCCUGCUAUAAGAUAUGCUGUACCAGUUAUUCUUGCUCUAGCUUACCCCAAAUAAAUGGAAAAGUUACUCCUACAUAGACUUUGAGAAGCUUCUAUCUGAAUUUGGGUGGUGUUAAAAAUUUCUGAUAAUCAGAAUCAUAUAAAGCAUACACAAAAUACAAAGAUUAAAAACACCCAAUUAUAAAAUUAGGACGUUAGUAUUUUGACAAUGCAACAUCGUCUUUUCAAUUAUUUACCUGAGGUACAUGAAUAUGUCGAGAACUUUGUGCUGCCGCAGCCCUGGCUUGUGCAAGCCUAUCCUGCAACUCCAGAGAACAAUCAAUAUCCUCCACAACCAGUAUUGAUUUAUUCCCAGUUGAAAUCACCAACUUCCUGAGCUCUGAAUUCCCUCUGAUUUCAGUCAACUCCAAGUCAUAAAUAUCAAAAUUAAGAUAAUUGGCCAUGGCAGCAAUCAAGCUUGAUUUCCCUGUGCCAGGAGGACCAAACAACAAGUACCCCCUUUUCCAAGCCUUGCCUACCCUCUUGUAAUACUCCUUUCUUUUCACAAAUCUCUCCAAAUCCUCGACUAUUUUCUGCUUCAUCUCUGAAUCCAUUGCCAGGGUUUGAAAAGUAGCCGGAUGAUCAAGAUUCACUGACUGCCACAUAUCCCCUCUCCUUCCAGGCAUCCUCUCGUACUUCAAGGUAAAUAAUUUCAAGGUCUUCUUUUUCUCCUUCAUUUCUUUUGCUUUGGCCAAUAUAUGCUGCAUAUAUUCGUUCAAGAUCAUUUCUUUAUGUUUCUUAUGGAAACUUAGCUCGAAGAACCGAAUCUCGGAUUUAACCACGGGGUUGUAAGGAUCAGAUCUUUGAAUACACUUGGAAGGAAUAUCUUUUGAAACAAACCUCCACUUCACUUGAACUCCAUUAAACUUAUCAAUGACUUCUUGAUUCUUUUCAAGGGACAAUGAAAUCUUUCCUUCUUUUCUUGGCAUGGUUACUCUAAUUCUCUUCGUGUCAGGAGGGAUUGUGGGCUCAAGAUAGAGCUCUGCAGCCUUGUAAAGAAGGUUAUGAUUGAGAUUAUUAUAUUCUUCGAUGACUAACGUGAGCUCUGAAGACAAAGAGGCAAGGAGAUUCUUGAUUUUCAAGAAAAUGAAGUCUCGCAGCUCGUGAGGAACGAAUUCUCUGACGACGGAGCGCACCAGCAUGGCAGUGGCGGCAACUGAUGCAGCAGCUGAGAAGAUGACCUUGGCUGAGGGACCUUGGUAGGUGCCAUUGAAAAAUGAGGUGUGUAUUGGCACCGAAGGCAUUUUGUUAAUUCUUAGGAAAUUGAAUAAAAAGAAGAACUGAAAAAAACAAAGAGAGAGGAAGGUUUGCCGAAUCUUUAAGAGUAAAAAGAAAGAAGCUCUGGGUAUUGAUAUGCUAUCAAUAUAAACAUGAAGAAAUGGUGUUGUGACAACGUUAGUAGGAAGCAAAGAGUGGAAAUAGUAGGAGAAAACCUUCCCUGUUCUGAUGAGGACAGGUGAGUCAAACGAUACCGUUUUUGGCUCUUCUAUUGGAUAAACUUUCGCGACUAUCAACAGCAUCAUUGACUUGCAUUGCUCACCAAAUAAAAGGUUCAAAUUAAUCAGUCAAUCCAGGAAGCGAUAUUGAUGUUCACGCUCCAAUGUUUGUUCAGAAAAAAAGUAAUUAGCGCGUGGCAACUCGUACUAGCUUUUCACAGUUGUUUUAUAAACUUCUCAUCACUUUCCUUACUUCCCUUUCCCACUCUUAACUUUGUUUAGAAUAAAAUAAUAUUUUAAUUAAUUGUGUGGAAAUUCUUAACUCCUUAUUGCCUGUUCACACUCUCCACUAAUAACUUAACAUUGUAAUUUUUAAAAUUACAAUCACUUAAAUACUUCUUUCUAUUAAAAUUAAAUUUUAAUUAAAUAUAUUAAUAUUUGUCUAUUCACACUCCACAAUAUUAAUUAUUUAUAUUUUUGCUUACAAUUUUUUAUUAUAAUCGCAACUUAAUAGAAAGAAGGUAAGAAACUCAUAGUCCAACAUGUAAAUUUGUAUAGCAAACUGGUGGAAAUAAUUUUAGAGAAAAAAAAUACAAAUAUAUUAUACAUUCAGCAAUAAAUAAACCCAUUUAAUUGGUUAACCAAUUCUAGAACAAAGAAGGAUAUAUCAAGCUUAAUUCAAUUAAUUUAUAUUCAAUCCCAAACGUAAUCAGCUGUUUUGUCAACAAACAAUAUUAUGAUUAAACUCAUAUUUAAAACAACUAGACAUACAGAAUUUACUCUAUUAAGUUAUUAGGAGAUGCUAAUCACUUUAACAAUGCGAGGUAUUAAGAUUUAAGAGACUUCCACUUGCACCAAACCUAUCAUCUAAACUUGCUCAUGAUAAUCUAGGCCAAUUUUCUUUAUUUAAACAUUCAUGAUAAUCUUUUUUAUUUUCUUUUUAUUCUAUCAAUUUUCUACUCCAAUUUAAACUUUGUGCGUCUCAAUUAAAACAAAUACGAAACAACUAUCUAAACAAAUAAAUUUGAAAAAAAAUUUAUGUUGAGUAGAAUUUCUAAAAUAAAAAAAUCUAACUCUAAUUCCAAGCUAUUUUGUCAUUAGGACAAGAGAUUUCAUUGAUUCAAUUCCUUAAUUUUAGAUGGUAUGUAAACAAAAGGUGAGAGUAAUUGAUAUUAAAUAGAAGUGUGGAUAGAUAAAUAGUAAUAUACUUAAUUAAAAUUUGACCUAAAUAACAAAUUAUUUAGUGAGGGUAAUUUAAAAAAUUUACAAUGAUAAGUUGUUAGAGGAGAGCGUUAAUAGACAAUUAAGAGUGCCAAUAGCCCCACCCUUAAUCUAAUUGAGAUUUAUUUUUUUAUUCAAUAUAUUAAAAAAAGAUGAUUCGAAUCUUAUUUUUUAAAUGAAAGUAUGUGUAUUUGUUAUUGAAGUUUUAAUUAAUUAUUGAUAAUGACAAUUUUUACUUUUUUUAUGUUAUGUAUAAUAUAUAUGAAAAAGAGACAGAUCACAUUAGCAUAUAUUCAAGUCAAUUUUAUUUGAUCUAACGUUUUAAAAAGCUUUUAUUAAAAAAAAUUUAAAUAAAUAAUUAUUCUUUUAUUACGUUCAAUUCAAAUCAAUUAAUAGUUAUCUAACUGUUAUUAGUCAAAAUAUAACUUAUCAUUUUUAUAUUACGUGACGUUAGCACGAAGUGUGACAAUAUCAUAUAACCAUGUCACUAUCCAUUAUGCUUGGUGAAUAUGCAAGUGACAUAAAAAAUGAUAAAGUAGUGUUUAAUUAACAACAUUUUUGUUGCACCUCUUUUAAAAUUUUGGGAUCGAGUGGGUUACUCUUUGGGCCUGAUCAGGCCAAUAGAGUUUUUAAAAGGAAAAAGUUUUUUUCUUUUGAACUUUUUUAUCAACUGAAUAUUUAGCUCUGUCAUAUUUGAUUGUUUCCUUAUAUAAACCCACUUCCAAGUCGUAACAUGUUCAACUGCAAGUUUCUUUGGAGUAAAUGAAUUUCACAAUACGAUACAAAACAUGCUCUGCUGUGCAUUGCAAGGAUUAUAAAUUAGUUUAUUUAUGAUUUAUCACAAGCUUGAAUUUUCAGCUUCUUCAGUUUUCUUUGCUCGGAGGAAGUCAAUUAGGCCUUGCAGUGCAGCUUCAGGAUCCUCAUUCUCUAGUAACUGCUCACCAACUUCUGCAGGGGUCACGGAUAUUUCAUCCAGGAGCUCUCUGGCUGUGGAGAUCAGAGGGUGAUCAGUUAUUCCAACAUAAUUGGCUGCUAAAGUGUUGAAACCACAAGGGCUGCAGUGUGACAUAUGGAUAUGAACAUCCAUGCGGCCUGGGCGUAACAGAGCUGGGUCUAAUCGGUCUUUGUGAUUAGUCGUGAACACGAUGAUCCUCUCAUCUCCACAGCUUGACCAAAGCCCAUCGAUGAAAUUGAGCAAUCCUGAUAGUGUAACCUAUGGAAUUAAUAAUAAUAAUAAAAAAAGGGGGCAAUUCAAAAGCCUUAAGAAACAGUAUAGAGAUAGGAUCAGGAAGAAGUUGAAAUGUCCUUACUUGACUUACUCUGUUAGUCCUGAAAGCAGUAACAGGUCGUGGUUCAGCUUGUCGUUCUUGCAACUCAAGACUGCAAUCAAUAUCCUCAACCACAAGUAUUGAUCGGUUUCCAGUGGCGAUCAGUAUUCUCCUCAGAUCAGAGUUGGUUUGAAUAUCGGUGAGUUCUAAGUCAUAAAUGUCAAAGUUUAAAUAAUUUGCCAUUGCAGCAAUCAAACUUGAUUUUCCUGUACCAGGAGGACCAUAUAACAAAUAUCCACGUUUCCAUGCCUUCCCUACUCUUCUGUAAUAUUCUUUCCUCUUUAGAAAUCUCUCAAGGUCUUCCAUUAUCAUGGUCUUGAGCUCUGUAUUCAUCGCCAGUGUUUCAAAUUUUGCAGGAUGAUCAAGGAUUAUUGGUUGCCAUACUCCGCCUCCAUGCCUCCGCAUAUAGUCGUACAAAGUGUAGAGCUUUAAGGUUUUCUUCUCUUCUGUUAAACAACUUGAUUCUUUUAAUAUAAAAGGCAAGUAGGAGUUUAAAACCUUAUCCUUGUGUUUCUUGUGGAAAGUAAGCUCAAAAGAUCGAAUUUCGGAUCGGACCUUGUAAGUAUGACCUUGAGCUGCCAUGUGAUUGGAGUCAACUUGUCUGGUAACCUGCCUCCAUUUAAAUUGAACCCCAUCAAAAGUAUCCAUCGUUUCUUGGUUGUUCGCCAUGGAAACAGCAAAGUUUAUCUCCUUUUCUGGCAUGCUUACUUUAUAAAGUUUGGUAGAGGGAGAGAUUUUGUUUCCUAAAUAGAUUUCUGCAGCCCUGUAGAUCUGGUUGCCUGUUAAACCAUCAAAUUCGUCGAUGACUAAGGUUAUCUGAAAGGAAAACGAUUUGAAAAAGCCCUUUAUAUAUUUGAACAUAUAAGCUUGAAGUUCAGAUGGUAACAAGUUGCGGGCUACGGUCUGAAUAACCAUUGCUGAAGCAGCGAUAGAAGCUGCUGUUGACACAACUGUUUGGGCAGAGGGCAUGUUGUUUUUGGAAAACAUGUUGGUGACCAGAAUUUGGAAUCGGUGAAGAGGAUCUGAAGAGAUUUCAGGGUAACCUGUGUUCUAGUUUCUUGUUUUGCCUUUAUGAUCGCUUAAAUACAUUUCACCCAGCCAAAAAGAAUUGAUUACUUCUGUACUUCUGGUUGAUGACAACAAGAGCUUUGGCAUUGGGAAAAUUUUUGUCGGUUUAGUAGAAGAGCCGUCUUCGAUUCUUCCCAAGAUUAUUCUUUGUCUCUAUCUACUUGGUUUCAUGCAAACAAACGAAAACGUCGUUCUUGUACACAUUGCAGAACAAUACAAAAUAAAUCUUAAAGUUUUAACAUGAUCAAGGAAGUUGAUAAUGGAAUUUGAUUGCAGCCAAUUGGUUCUCACGCCUAUCAUUUGAGCUGAGCCCAUUCCUAUGAUUUGAAUUUUAUAAAAGUUGCAGAAUUACGAUGGUGGUACAUUAGCAUCUUUCCCUCUCCAAGUACUUCGCUUAUCUUCUUGGCAAAUCUCUCAAACAGAUCAUCCAUGUUCAGGCCAGUGAAAUGAUUUUCCAGAAGGGAUUCUGCAACUGCUCUUAUAGUCCUGGCGACAUUUUUGCCUUUCAUACCAUUUUGGCUCUUAGAAUCCCAAUCUAUUUUAUAAGUUUCAAGUCGCUGGAUCUGAAACGACCCUUCAGUUUGAAUUACGUGCCUCACUUCUUUUGGGGUAGGUGCAUAAUAAGGAAGAUUGAUGUGGUCCAGUUUUGCCUCUUCAAUCAAUCCCUGGAUUAAGGUCAUUACAAAUGAACAUGAGAAAUGGCAGCAGUUACUCAAGCAGACUGCAAGCAAUGAACAGAAAAGGAAUUUGUUGAAAAUGAAGGGCACACAUUUCAUUAAGCAUCAGCCGUGUAUAUAGAGAACCGGUUGAUGAGAGAUAAAAGCUUUUUACAAGAACCAGCUAUACAAACACUCGAGCUGGUAUUCCUAUAUUCCAGGUGCAUAGGGAUCUGUAAUAGAUACCCUGACACAAUAACAGACACUGAGCCAUUGGAAACGGCCUAAUUUGAAGAUAAAAACAAUAAAAUCCCUAACAUUUGGGAAAUAGUAAAUUCAGUGUCAUCAGGAUCAUAAUCAGGUUCAUAAAUGACUUCUGGCAGUGACCCUGAACCAAGUAUUCUGUUAUUAGUUGUCUCAACCAGGUUAGACUCCCAAUUCCACUUUGCAUUUUCAUCAAACUUUAUGUUUCUGGCCACUUGAACCUUUUUAGACUUCCGAGACUAAAUACUCUGUAUCCUUUUGCUUGUAAACUGUAUCCGAAGAACACUCCUACCUCAGCCCUUGGUUCCAAUUUAGACCUUUUUGCCUCAAGCGCAUGAAUGUAGAAGAUGUUACCGAAUAUUCUAAGAUGAUCCACUGCUGGUUUGACAUGGUGCCAAGCUUCAUAGGGUGUCAUUUUGUUCAAUGCCCUUUUUGGAAGUAUGUUUUGCAGGUAAACGACAGUAUUGGUAGCUUCUGCCUAAAAAUGCUUAAGCAUUGAUUUUUCAAAUAACAAGCAUUUAGCCAUGUUUAACACUGUCAUAUUCUUCCUUUCACAUGUUCCAUUUUGUUAGAGAGAAUAGAAGAUGGUAAACUGAUGCCUAAUGCCUACAGCAGCGAAGAACUCAUCAAACUCAACAGAUGAAUACUCUCCACAAUUGUUUUUUCUGAGAUUCUUAAUUUUGCACCCUGAUUCAAGUUCGACAUGCUUUGAACUUCUUAAAAACAGAAAACACAUCAGAUUUAACCUUGAUGAAAUAAAUUCAAGUCAUCCUAGUGUAGUCAUCAAUGAACAACACAAAAUACUUACUACCAUUAAGUAAUUCAACACUCAUUGGACCACGAGCAUCAGAAUGCACAAAUUCAAGCUUUUCUACUGUUCUCUUGGUGCUUUUCAAAGGAAAUGGGAGCCUUGUUUGUUUCCCCAAUUGACAAACUUCACAGAUUUCUGAAUGAACAAGUAUAAGCGGCAUUUUUGUCACUAACUUAUCAGAAUUUAAUAAUGUCAUUGUUGAGUAGUUGCAAUGUCCAAACCUUCUAUGCCAUAGCUUGGACACAUCAUAAUCAACCUUCUCAACUGCAUUCAAACCUACAUGAUGCCAACCUAGUGGAACACAUUUAUUCUUCAUACUAACAGUCAUCAAUACACUGUCAUUAGGCUCAGUUAUAAUGCAUGCUUUGUUCUUGAACAGCAAGGUAUAAUUAUUCUCAAGCAUUUGAGCAACAUUAAGUAAAUUUUGACAUGCUUGAGGCACUAGGAACACAUUUUGAACAUACCCGGUUCCAUUUGGUGUAGUGACAGCAACAGUACCUUUGCCUACUGCCUGUAGGUACUUUUCCAUCUCCAAUCUCAAUAUUUGCACUCUUGUUCCUAUCAAUGGAGGUGAACAAGGAUGUGUUUGGAGUUAUUUGACUAAAGCAUGCCCUGCCAAUUAACCAUGUUUCACUAGACUUUGUCAUAUUGCCUUCUGAAGCCGUGAAAAGCAACUCCUCAGCAGGUUCAACUUCUUCUGAAACUUGAGCUUGCUAAUUUUGCACAUUUCCCUUGUUCUUGCAUACUUUUUUCACAUGGCCAAGCUGAUUACACUUUUUGCACUUAACAUUUGGAGUAAACCAAAAAUAUUUUUCAGCAUGGUUAGUCUUUUUACAGUAAGAACACACUACAUUUUUGGUUUUCUUAACCUGUUGCCUCUGAUUUGAAGUAGCAGUUUUCUCUUUGUCUUUCUUUUCACUUGGAGACUUUCUAUUUGAGUGGUGAAGAACAAUUUUCUCUUUAAGCCUUGCUUGCAAAGCUAUCUUUGUCCUUUCUUCAAGACUGAUCUGCCUUCUUACUUCAAAAGCUUGAAAAGCAUUAACUAACUCUUGUAAUGUCAUCAUAGUGAGGUCUUUUGAUUCCUCAAGAGCUGCAACUUUUGACUUAAAUGUCUUAGGAAUACUAACUAGCAUCUUUUUCACAAUUCUUGGAUUUGACAACUCAGCUCCCAAAAGUCUCACUUGAUUGACAAUCUUCAUUAGCUUGUCCACAUAGUCCUUCACUGUCUCAUCCUCCGUCGUCUUCAACACUUUAAAUUGUCUUAUUAAGUUCAGAACUUGCAUCUUUCUAGUUCUGUCUGACCCUUGGCACCCCUUCUUGAACUUAUCCCAAGCUUUCUUAGCUAUUUCACAAGGCAUGAUUCUUGUGUAUAUUGUAUCUGUCACAGUAGUGUGAAUGUAAGACAACCGUAUAUCUCUUGGCCACUUUUUAACUAUGCUGUCUCAUUUGAUUUAUGGUGGGGUUGGUUCUCAGCUCAGGAGGCUUUCCUCGUUCAACUACCUCCUAAAGAUCGAAAGCUUUAAGAAAGGUUUUCAUUUUAACUACCCAAACAUUAUAAUUUUCACCAAUGAAAGUGGUGGUGAAAGGGAUGAAGUGCUACCACUUGAAGCCAUGUUUUGAUGAAGUGAGGGUUGCUUAGUUUUUUUGUGAAGGUUGUAAAGGUUUGCUAAUAGGCCUCUAAUACCAUUGAAGCUAUGAUACAAUGUUGAGUUUUUUAGAGGCUUCUUCUGGUAUAUACUGAAUGCAAAGCAGUUAAUAUGUAUGCAGCAAAGGGUAAGAGAAAACACUCUGCUGUAACAAAGGUUAUAUGAUGAAGAGAUGCUGCAACAAUGUGAGUUGUGCAACUGAUAUUCAUUAACAUGUUGAUAUAUAUUACAAACUUGCUAAGCAAGCUGUGAACAGUGAUAAUACAAUUGAUAACUAGCUAAAACAUUACUUAAUCAGUCACUAGGAGCAUUACUUAGUCAUUAGGAGCAUAGGCAUCAUAAUUAAUUUUGACAAUGAAGUGGCUCUCACAACACAAAACAUCAUGGUAGAAACCAUUGAUUAAUAGCAAGCACCAUGGAAGUUCUAAUUCAUGUGAAAGCAAAUUUUGGUUUGCCAAUUUAAUAGUUUACUGUUCUUAUGAAAACUGAUAAAUUUUUUUUACCUUAAAUGCGGUCAAAACCAGCUUUCAGUUGAAAUUUGAUGCUUUUUAAUGAUCAAGCUAGGACGUUUCCGGUUCAAAAAUUACCGCUUUGCUGAAGCUCUUGGUGGUGUUAACAGAUGAUUAUCCGAACCAAAGAAUUAAAGACGCUGGAGAAAAAUGAAACAUGAAUUCUACAAAAUGGUUUAGGCUCUAUGGAAGUUUACAAGUUACACGUGAGGAUCAGAUGUAACUCCACAGAAGAUAAAUAGUGCAUAGGGCAAUAUCCAAGUUCCUGUGUUCAUAGCAUUAACAACUUUCAUUUAUCAUCCAAUUAAAAGAAACAUAAAACUUUGAUAAAGGUUGAAAUCAGCAAUGGCGAAUUCGCUAAUAUUUUUUUGGGUUUGGUCUCAUUGUGACGUGAGAAGAUGAUACUCAAUUCUGUCAUUACUUGUCACAAUGAACUUAAUGCUCCCUAACAUCUGCCGCAGAUCAUUGUUUUUUUAAGUCAAUAUUUCUGCUACCAAAAUAAACUUUCAAAGAUGCUCAAAAAUAUGAAAUUGAUCGACUUAAUUGAGUUGUUACACUUGCAUAGUAGGAUGAUUUCAUGCCAUCAUUUCUGCAUUCCCCAGAAAACAAAGUAACUAAGACAUUACUUGGUAUUUGUUAGGCUAUUUUUAUCUCUCUCUUCAGAGUCAUAAUCCUCUUCUCCCAGAAAACUACAGCGAUUUACUGAAUCAUUAGUGUUUGUUGGUUCCCUCUAUCUUCCUGUUUCUUGCUCUUACCUUGUUUGUCUUCUAGCUUGUCCCCGACUUCUGCUGCUUGCGCUACUCUUGAUUGUGAUUCACCAGCUUCAGCUUCAGCUUCACGACCUUCUUCCAGCUUGGCCUCAAGAAACUCGAUUAGACCUGGUAGCACAAUUUCAGGCACCUCGUCUUUCAUCAGCUGCUCACCUACUUCUGCAGGGGUCACCUUCGAUAUCUCUAGCAAUUCCUCAAUCUCUAAGAAGAGCGGGUGCUCUGGAAUCCCGAGGUAAUUGGAAGCCAGCAUUUUGAACCCACAUGGAGUGCAGUAGGACAUGUGGAUGUGCAUAUCCAUUCGACCAGGGCGCAGCAAAGCUGGGUCAAGCCGUUCCUUGUGAUUGGUUGUGAACACUAUAAUCCUUUCAUCCCCACAGCUUGACCAUAACCCAUCUAUGAAGUUCAGCAAUCCUGACAGUGUCAACUGAUACUGAUAGAAAGCAAACUGUGAAUCUGUAGGUUCCAUUAUAUUCAUGUCCAUUCUCAAUGCAAAAAAAACACACAGCAACACAGUGUAUGAUGAUAUCUCAUUAUCCAAACACGUAUUCAUAAUUCAUUGCAAUUUGAUAUGUCACUAUCAAAACCUGAAUUCCUUAUGAAAGACGAGAAGAAAUUUCCUGCUAUAAGAUAUGCUGUACCAGUUAUUCUUGCUCUAGCUUACCCCAAAUUAAUGGAAAAGUUACUCCUACAUAGACUUUGAGAAGCUUCUAUCUGAAUUUGGGUGGUGUUAAAAAUUUCUGAUAAUCAGAAUCAUAUAAAGCAUACACAAAAUACAACGAAUAAAAACACCCAAUUAUAAAAUCAGGACGUUAGUAUUUUGACAAUGCAACAUCGUC
rnacentral:lncRNA from 1 species